rnacentral:rRNA from 1 species
GACGUAGGAGGCGAGCGUUGUCCGGAUUCAUUGGGCGUAAAGAGCUCGUAGGCGGUCUGUUGCGUCGGCUGUGAAAACCCGGGGCUCAACCCCGGGCCUGCAGCCGAUACGGGCAGACUAGAGUUCGGCAGGGGAGACUGGAAUUCCUGGUGUAGCGGUGAAAUGCGCAGAUAUCAGGAGGAACACCGGUGGCGAAGGCGGUUCUCUGGGCAUGUCCUGACGCUGAGGAGCGAAAGUGUGGGGAGCGAACAGG